UGGAUAAUUAAAAAGGGCAGCGAAGGACCAUGAGCAAUUCUCCAGUGCUGAAGAUUGAUCCCAGUCAUGUAAAAAUAAGCUGCCACCUCUGGAGGAGCUGAAAAAUAUUGCCAAAAACUAAGAGUCACUCUAAUAUGGAAAGGAGGACAGUCGGGAGUUGGGUAAGUGUGGCUAGUUCUGUAUCAGGACUGCUGACGGAAUCCUAGUUUUACUGCCUACACACCUCCUUGUUCUGUCUGGCUCAGAAGUCAUCUUGUGUUUUUUCCAUCUGCAGAAUGGGGUAAUGACAUUUCUAGAUUUCACCAAGGCCUAAAAUGACAGCAAUAGCCCCUCUGCCUUGCAGCUGCUCUGCUGCUCCCAGCCAAGUCUACUCCCCUUCUUAAGUCCACCGCACAUUGCUGCUAAUGCAG
rnacentral:lncRNA from 13 species